GAAUCUUCCGCAAUGGACGAAAGUCUGACGGAGCAACGCCGCGUGAGUGAAGAAGGUUUUCGGAUCGUAAAACUCUGUUGUCGGAGAAGAACAAGUAGGAGAGUAACUGUUCCUACCUUGACGGUACCCGACCAGAAAGCCACGGCUAACUACGUGCCAGCAGCCGCGGUAAUACGUAGGUGGCAAGCGUUGUCCGGAUUUAUUGGGCGUAAAGCGAGCGCAGGUGGUUUCUUAAGUCUGAUGUGAAAGCCCACGGCUCAACCGUGGAAGGUCAUUGGAAACUGGGGAACUUGAAUGCAGAAGAGGAGAGUGGAAUUCCAUGUGUAGCGGUGAAAUGCGUAGAUAUAGGAAGGAACACCAGUGGCGAAGGCGACCACCUGGGCUCAUACUGACACUGAGGUGCGAAAGCGUGGGGAGCAAACA
rnacentral:rRNA from 1 species